UACGAAGGGGGCUAGCGUUGCUCGGAAUUACUGGGCGUAAAGAGCUCGUAGGCGGCUUGUCGCGUCGGAUGUGAAAGCCCGGGGCUUAACUCCGGGUCUGCAUUCGAUACGGGCAGGCUAGAGUUCGGUAGGGGAGAUCGGAAUUCCUGGUGUAGCGGUGAAAUGCGCAGAUAUCAGGAGGAACACCGGUGGCGAAGGCGGAUCUCUGGGCCGAUACUGACGCUGAGGAGCGAAAGCGUGGGGAGCGAACAGG
rnacentral:rRNA from 1 species